GAAGUCACGAAUAACCGGCCGAAAGGUCGGAUAAUACGUGAUGGUCUCGCGAGAGUAAAGAUUUAUCGCUUCGGGAAUGGCCUGCGGGCUAUCAGCUAGUUGGUAAGGUAACGGCUUACCAAGGCUACGACGGCUAGGAGAGCUGAGAGGCUGACCUCCACCGAUGGAACUGCGACACGGUCCAUACUCCUACGGGAGGCUGCAGUCGAGAAUCUUCCGCAAUGGGCGAAAGCCUGACGGAGCGACGCCGCGUGAAGGAUGAAGUCCCUCGGGACGUAAACUUCUUUUAUGAGGGAGGAAAUUUUGACGUUACCUCAUGAAUAAGGGGCUCCUAACUCUGUGCCAGCAGGAGCGGUAAUACAGAGGCCCCAAGCGUUACCCGGAUUUAUUGGGCGUAAAGGGUGCGUAGGCGGUCGUAUUAGUCACUUGUUAAAUCUCCCGGCUUAACCGGGAACCUGCAAGUGAAACGGUACGACUCGAGGAUGUGAGAGGUGAUCGGAACUCAAGGUGUAG
rnacentral:rRNA from 1 species